rnacentral:rRNA from 1 species
GAUUAACGCUGGCGGCGUGCAUAACACAUGCAAGUCGAACGAUGAAACUCAUUAGAUUUCUUCGGAAUGAAAAUGAAUGGAUUAGUGGCGAACGGGUGAGUAACGCGUGAGUAACCUGCCUUACACAAGGGGAUAGCCUCUGGAAACGGAGAAUAAUACCCUAUGAAACCAGACAAUCGCAUGAUAAUCUGGUCAAAAUGUUUAGUGGUGUAAGAUGGACUUGCGUCUGAUUAGCUAGUUGGUGAGAUAAAAGCUCACCAAGGCAACGAUCAGUAGCCGGCUUGAGAGCGUGUACCGCCACAUUGGGACUGAGACACGGCCCAGACUCCUACGGGAGGCAGCAGUGGGGAAUUUUGCACAAUGGGGGAAACCCUGAUGCAGCGACGCCGCGUGAUUUAGAAGGCCUUCGGGUUGUAAAAAUCUUUUGUAUAGGAAGAAAAUGACAGUACUAUACGAAUAAGGUCCGGCUAAUUACGUG